UACGUAGGGGGCAAGCGUUGUCCGGAUUUAUUGGGCGUAAAGAGCGUGUAGGCGGUUCGGUAGGUCCGUUGUGAAAACUCGAGGCUCAACCUCGAGACGCCGAUGGAAACCCCCGAACUAGAGUCCGGAAGAGGAGAGUGGAAUUCCUGGCGUAGCGGUGAAAUGCGCAGAUAUCAGGAAGAACACCCGUGGCUAAGGCGGCUCUCUAGUACGGUACUGACGCUGAGACGCGAAAGCGUGGGGAGCGAACAGG
rnacentral:rRNA from 1 species